GCUGAAAUAGCUUAGUUGGGAGAGUGUUGGACUUUUUUUUUGCUUAUCCCUAGUACACGUGGUACAGGCCAUGAUAAUCAUGGUGGGUAGAAGUAGGCUACUGUUUUUACUGUAAGUGUACCACAUGUCUACACAUAUGAAAAGCAGUUCAACUUUGCACUUACAAAUAUACCAAAGCCCCGUUUGGUUGCUUGCACUCGCUGGUGGGAUUAGACUUUUGCAUGAAUUGGGUGCCAUUGGAGCAUUUUUUUUUAAUCAGAAAAAAAGUGUCUAAUGCAGGAAUCGAACCCGGGUCGUAGUGGUUGAACAUCAAAGGUUUAGACCACCCUUCCACCGAACCCCCAAAAGAUGGCCCAUGAGGGUACUGAAGAUCUAAAGGUCUCUGGUUUGAUCCUGGGUUUUGGCA